rnacentral:rRNA from 1 species
CCUACGGGAGGCAGCAGUAGGGAAUCUUCGGCAAUGGGGGGAACCCUGACCGAGCAACGCCGCGUGAGUGAAGAAGGUUUUCGGAUCGUAAAGCUCUGUUGUUAAGGAAGAACGAGUGUGAGAAUGGAAAGUUCAUGCUGUGACGGUACUUAACCAGAAAGGGACGGGUAACUACGUGCCAGCAGCCGCGGUAAU